UACGAAAGGGGCUAGCGUGUAUCGGAAUUACUGGGCGUAAAGCGCACGCAGGCGGAUUGAUAAGUCAGGGGUGAAAUCCCGGGGCUUAACCUCGGAAUUGCCUUUGAUACUGUCUGUCUUGAGUCCGGGAGAGGUGAGUGGAAUUCCUAGUGUAGAGGUGAAAUUCGUAGAUAUUAGGAAGAACACCAGUGGCGAAGGCGGCUCACUGGCCCGGAACUGACGCUCAUGUGCGAAAGCGUGGGGAGCAAACAGG
rnacentral:rRNA from 1 species